rnacentral:rRNA from 1 species
UACGUAGGGGGCAAGCGUUGUCCGGAAUCAUUGGGCGUAAAGCGCACGUAGGCGGCCCGGUAAGUCCGUUGUGAAAGUCAGAGGCUCAACCUCUGGAGGCCAAUGGAUACUGCCGGGCUAGAGUCCGGAAGAGGCGAGUGGAAUUCCCGGUGUAGUGGUGAAAUGCGUAGAUAUCGGGAGGAACACCAGUGGCGAAGGCGACUACCUGGCCUGUUCUUGACGCUGAGGCGCGAAAGCUAGGGGAGCAAACGGG